AUUGAACGCUGGCGGCAUGCCUUACACAUGCAAGUCGAACGGCAGCACGGGAGCAAUCCUGGUGGCGAGUGGCGAACGGGUGAGUAAAGUAUCGGAACGUGCCCAGUCGUGGGGGAUAACGUAGCGAAAGUUACGCUAAUACCGCAUACGAUCUAUGGAUGAAAGCGGGGGAUCGCAAGACCUCGCGCGAUUGGAGCGGCCGAUAUCAGAUUAGGUAGUUGGUGGGGUAAAGGCUCACCAAGCCGGCGAUCUGUAGCUGGUCUGAGAGGACGACCAGCCACACGGGGACUGAGACACGGCCCAGACUCCUACGGGAGGCAGCAGUGGGGAAUUUUGGACAAUGGGCGAAAGCCUGAUCCAGCCAUGCCGCGUGCAGGAUGAAGGCCUUCGGGUUGUAAACUGCUUUUGUACGGAACGAAAAGGUUUGGCCUAAUAAGCUGAGCUCAUGACGGUACCGUAAGAAUAAGCACCGGCUAACUACGUGCCAGCCGCCGCAGUAA
rnacentral:rRNA from 1 species